rnacentral:rRNA from 2 species
GCAGUCGAGCGCACUGGCCCAACUGAUAUGACGUGCUUGCACUGAUUUGACGAUGGAUUACCAGUGAGCGGCGGACGGGUGAGUAACACGUGGGCAACCUGCCCUGGAGCGGGGGAUAACAUUUGGAAACAGAUGCUAAUACCGCAUAAUAAUCAAAACCACAUGGUUUUGAUUUCAAAGAUGGCUUCGGCUAUCACUCCAGGAUGGGCCCGCGGUGCAUUAGCUAGUUGGUAAGGUAACGGCUUACCAAGGCGAUGAUGCAUAGCCGAGUUGAGAGACUGAUCGGCCACAAUGGAACUGAGACACGGUCCAUACUCCUACGGGAGGCAGCAGUAGGGAAUCUUCCACAAUGGGCGCAAGCCUGAUGGAGCAACACCGCGUGAGUGAAGAAGGGUUUCGGCUCGUAAAACUCUGUUGUUGAAGAAGAACGUGCGUGAGAGUAACUGUUCACGCAGUGACGGUAUUCAACCAGAAAGUCACGGCUAACUACGUGCCAGCAGCCGCGGUAAUACGUAGGUGGCAAGCGUUAUCCGGAUUUAUUGGGCGUAAAGCGAGCGCAGGCGGUUACUUAAGUCUGAUGUGAAAGCCUUCGGCUUAACCGAAGAAGUGCAUCGGAAACUGGGUGACUUGAGUGCAGAAGAGGACAGUGGAACUCCAUGUGUAGCGGUGGAAUGCGUAGAUAUAUGGAAGAACACCAGUGGCGAAGGCGGCUGUCUGGUCUGCAACUGACGCUGAGGCUCGAAAGCAUGGGUAGCGAACAGGAUU